rnacentral:rRNA from 1 species
AUGGGCGCAGCCUGAACCAGCCAUGCCGCGUGCAGGAAGACGGCCCUAUGGGUUGUAAACUGCUUUUGUACCGGAAAAACCUCUUUACGUGUAAAUAGUUGAAUGUACGGUAAGAAUAAGGAUCGGCUAACUCCGUGCCAGCAGCCGCGGUAAUACGAAU